rnacentral:rRNA from 1 species
GAACACUUGAGGAUAGCACUUCAAAUCUUAAGAGAGAAUCAGUUGUAUGCAAAAUUUAGUAAGUGUGAGUUUUGGCUGGACCAAGUAGCUUUCUUGGGGCACGUAAUUUCAGGAAGAGGAGUUGAGGUUGACCCAUCAAAAAUUGAGACAGUUGUGUCUUGGGCUCGUCCGACCAAUCCAAGUGAGAUAAGGAGUUUCUUGGGCUUUGCAGGGUACUACCGCAGAUUUAUAAAAGGGUUUUCGCAGAUUACAGCACCAAUCACCAAAUUGCUUAGGAAAGAAGCUAAGUUUAUUUGGACUGAAGAGUGUGAGAGAAGUUUUCAGGAACUAAAGAAAAGGUUAACUACCGCACCAGUGUUGGCAUUACCUGAA